GCAAACCCAAAUUCUUAAACGUCAAACAAGAAUAGGGAUUUGAGAGAAGAUAAAAAUAAUUUCGAAAAUAAAACGUAUAACUUGCAAUCAAAUAAUUAGUCAGAUAGUGUAAAGGAUUGUUCUUUGACUCUUAUAACAAUGCAUUAUUUAGUUUAGGUUCCCUCUGCUUCUCUCUCUGCAGCUCUGUCUCGUUUUGGGCGGGGCUUUAUCAGCAGAGCAUUCUCAUUGGCUGAUUGGAUUUUGACUGACACAGCUCAGUACCUAUGUGCUGGCAGCAGGCAGUUUCCAGCCAAUCGUGCUUUUCUAAAUGUGAGCUACGAGUGACGUGCAUGCGUUUGCCUCAGAACAACGGUCAUGAUUGGCUGAAUCGUCCGCUGUACCCGCCCCCCAUGAGCGAGGGAAAGAAGAAAAACAAAGAAGAGAAGAAGAAGCAGCGCUGGUCUGGAAGAGGCGCGGAAAAGAAAAUGAGAGAACCUGGAGAAGGAGGAGGAGGAGGAGAGGCUGAGAAGACGGCGGGGCAGAGUCGAAGUGAGCAGCAUCGCCUACAAACUAUAGAAAAGAGCGGGAGAGCCAGUUCGCCGGCUGGUUGAGACCUGCUGCAGGCUCGGAAAGCAAAGCUGUCUGCCGGUGCUGAAGACAGAGCUGGUGGCCCAAUGAACUGUAUUAAAAAAAACAGAGUGUGAAGAUGGCAGGUGGAUGUGCCAGUUUGAAGCCAACAACCACAAUGCUGCGGUCCAUGACAACAUGAGAUGUAAACAGUAAGAGGACUGCCCCCACCCAGCAGGGUGCAGCAGACUCAGACAGGGACUCACAGCUGGAGACUGAACCUGAAGAAAACUGCCAAAGGCGGAGACGUGACGUGACGCAGACCGGACAGCUGAUGAAGCCCGAGGCGAUCAGGGCUACACACCACUUAGUGUUUGUCCACAUUAGAUGUUGGACUUUUGGUUAAUUCCAAAAAAAAAACAAGAAAAAAAAAAAAACACAUGUAGCCCUUGGCCUGUUGUCUGUUGUGGUUCCCUCUUUUCCAGGUUAUUAUACAGCAGGUUAUAUAUGCACUUUAUUUGAAGUUAUAACCUGCUAGCAGGCACUUUGAGGUUUGCACAAGUGCUGUUUUUGUUGAUUUUAUUUUUGUUUUUGUUUUUGAGGACAGAGACAUGUUGUUGCUCUGAAAAUAAAAUGUAAUAUGUGAAGCCAGACCUUUAUUUUCUUGUCAGUUAUCAUGAAUACUGUUUCUCUUUGUCUCUCUGCCUGUUAGAUGCUAUUCAACACUAGAGUGACUAAAGCGCAUCAAUAAACUUGUUAUUUUGGUUAUGAAUUUCCUUCAAAUUACGAUCAUUUGAUGUCUGUGGUACGAUAAUCCUACAUUUCCCAGCUGGCAGCGCUGGUUCAGUGAGUUGUUGAGUUGGAGCCACUUUAUAAACUGUGUGAAACUCUG